UCUACGGGAGGCUGCAGUGGGGAAUAUUGCACAAUGGGCGCAACCCUGAUGCAGCGACGCCGCGUGUGUGAGGAAGUAUUUCGGUAUGUAAAGCUCUAUCAGCGGGGAAGAAAAUGACGGUACCUGACUACGAAGCCCCGGCUAACUACGUCACAGCAGGCGCGGGAAUACGUCGGGGGCAAGGGUUAGCCGGAUGUGUGGGGUCUAAAGGUUGGGCAGGCGGAUUUUUAAGUCAGCGGGAAAAUCGUGGGGGUCAAUCGCGUUCAGCAGUUGACACUGGGGAGCUAGAGUGUGCGAGAGGUAGGCGGAAUGCGAGGUGUAGCGGUGAAAUGCAUAGAGAGCUGGCAGAACCCCGGUGGCGAAGGCAGCAUACCGGUGCACAACUGACGCUCAGGCACGAAAGCGUGGGUAGCGAACAGGAUUAGAUACCCUUGUAGUC
rnacentral:rRNA from 1 species